rnacentral:rRNA from 1 species
CCUACGGGAGGCAGCAGUGAGGAAUAUUGGUCAAUGGACGCGAGUCUGAACCAGCCAUGCCGCGUGAAGGAUGACUGCCCUAUGGGUUGUAAACUUCUUUUGUAUGGGGAUAAAAUGUUCCACGUGUAGCGUUUUGUAUGUACCAUACGAAUAAGGAUCGGCUAACUCCGUGCCAGCAGCCGCGGUAAUACGGAGGAUCCGAGCGUUAUCCGGAUUUAUUGGGUUUAAAGGGAGCGUAGGUGGAUGGUUAAGUCAGUUGUGAAAUGUAGGGGCUCAACCGUAGAAUUGCAGUUGAUACUGGCAGUCUAGAGUAUAGUAGAGGUGGGCGGAAUUCGUGGUGUAGCGGUGAAAUGCGUAGAUAUCACGAAGAACACCGAUUGCGAAGGCAGCUCACUGGACUACAACUGACGCUGAGGCUCGAAAGUGUGGGGAUCAAACAGGAUUAGAUACCCUAGUAGUC